GUUCGGAAGCUCAUUCUGGUGGAGCAACCGGUGCAAGCCGGUGUGUGGCGGGUUCGAAUCCCGUCCGAACGCCG
rnacentral:tRNA from 1 species